rnacentral:misc_RNA from 1 species
AAGGAUCAUUAUUGAAUAAACUUGGUCAAGCUGUUGCUGGUCCUUCGGGGCAUGUGCACGCUUGCCACCAAUUUUAACCACCUGUGCACCUUUUGUAGAUUGGAAACGUUUCUCGAGGCAACUCGGAUUGAGGACUGCUGUGCGCAAGCCAGCUGUUCUUGUGUUUCUCAAUCUAUGUUUUCAUAUACUCCUAAUGUAUGUAUCAGAAUGUAUUGUUAGGCCUCUGUGCCUUUAAAUCAAAUACAACUUUCAACAACGGAUCUCUUGGCUCUC